AUUGAACGCUGGCGGCAGGCCUCACACAUGCAAGUCGAACGAGUGGCGGACGGGUGAGAUAUGUCUGUGAAACUGCCUGAUGGCGGGGGAUAACUUCUGGAAACGGUAGCUAUUACCGCAUCGCAUCCGAUGUGCCCAGAUUUGAUUAGCUAGUUGGUGGGUUAACGGCUCACCAAAGCGACGAUCCCUAGCUGGUCUGAGAGGCGGACCAGCCACACUGGAACUGAGACACGGUCCAGACGUCUACGGGAGGCAGCAGUGGGGAAUAUUGCACAAUGGGCGCAAGCCUGAUGCAGCCAUGCCGCGUGUAUGAAGAAGGCCUUCGGGUUGUAAAGUACUUUCAGCGGGGAGGCGUUACCCGCAGAAGAAGCACCGGCUAACUCCGUGCCAGCAGCCGCGGUAAUUC
rnacentral:rRNA from 1 species